UACCUUGUGGUGCAUGCACUGUGUAAAUAUGAACACAGAGCAUGUACCAUAUUGUGCAUGCU
rnacentral:pre_miRNA from 1 species